rnacentral:rRNA from 1 species
GACGAACGCUGGCGGCGGGCUUAACACAUGCAAGUCGAACGGAAAUGCCCUGCUUUUGUGGGGUGCUCUGGUGGCGAACGGGUGAGUAACACGUGAGUAACCUGCCCUUGACUUUGGGAUAACUUCAUGAAACUUGGGCUAAUACCGGGUAGGAGCUCCUGCUUCAUGGGGGGGGUGGGAAAGUUUCGGCGGUUGGGGAUGGACUCGCGGCUUCUCAGCUUGGUGGUUGGGUAGUGGCGUACCAAGGCUUUGACGGGUAGACGGCCUGAGAGGGUGACCGGCCAAACUGGGACUGAGAUAAGGCCCAGACUCAUACGGGACGCAGCAGUGGGGAAUAUUGCACAAUGGGCGGAAGCAUGAUGCAGCAAAGCCGCGUGCGGGAUGAUGGCCUUCGGGUUGUAAACCGAUUUCGUCUCUGACGAAGCGUGAGUGACGGUAAUGGGUAAAGAAGCCCCGGCUAACUACGUG